rnacentral:rRNA from 1 species
UGGGGAAUAUUGCACAAUGGGCGCAAGCCUGAUGCAGCCAUGCCGCGUGUGUGAAGAAGGCCUUCGGGUUGUAAAGCACUUUCAGCGAGGAGGAAGGUGGUGAGCUUAAUACGCUCAUCAAUUGACGUUACUCGCAGAAGAAGCACCGGCUAACUCCGUGCCAGCAGCCGCGGUAAUACGGAGGGUGCAAGCGUUAAUCGGAAUUACUGGGCGUAAAGCGCACGCAGGCGGUUUGUUAAGUCAGAUGUGAAAUCCCCGGGCUCAACCUGGGAACUGCAUUUGAAACUGGCAAGCUAGAGUCUCGUAGAGGGGGGUAGAAUUCCAGGUGUAGCGGUGAAAUGCGUAGAGAUCUGGAGGAAUACCGGUGGCGAAGGCGGCCCCCUGGACGAAGACUGACGCUCAGGUGCGAAAAGCGUGGGGCAGCAAACAGGAUUAGAUACCCUGGUAGUCCACGCUGUAAAACGAUGUCGAUUUUGGAGGUUGUGCCCUUGAGGCGUGGCUUCCGGAGCUAACGCGUUAAAUCGACCGCCUGGGGAGUACGGCCGCAAGGUUAAAACUCAAAGGAAUUGACGGGGUC